CCUGAGGUUUUGGGAAAAGGGAUGUUGUAGGCUAAUAAUGUUGGAUUGCUUUUGUUACACCUGUGCUUCAUUUGUGUGUUUCAAUUUUAUGUUGGCCAGGCCUACUUUACAAGGACUACAGAAGAAAUGGGAUCCCAAAAUGGAACUGGAAGCAGAUCAUGGGUCACACCAUGCAACCAAACACUUUCUGCACCGCUGAGCGAAAAAGAGAUGCAAUACUUCACACCCUGAAGAUGUACCUGGGGGGAAUUGCCAGAAGAUUUUUUUUUUUGGCGAAGAUGAAGCAUGGCAGGACUGAGUGUAGGCUAUAUAUACACUGCAGGCCCUGGGGGGAGCUUUUGGUUGUAUUCUUCAUGUAAGAGAUGUAUCUAAAGCUGUGAGACACUUGUUAUUAGAAUGUAAUAUUACUGAUAUUUGUGGUGUUAACUAAAUAGAUUGAUACAUUGACCAAAAA